rnacentral:rRNA from 1 species
AACGAACGUUAGCGGCGCGCCUAAACACAUGCAAGUCGUGCGAGAAAGGGCUUCGGCCCCGGUAAAGCGGCGCACGGGUGAGUAACACGUAGGUAAUCUGCCCUCUGGUGGUGGAUAACCUUCCGAAAGGAAGGCUAAUACAGCAUAAGACCACGGUUUCGCAAGAGACUGGGGGUAAAAAGCGGGCCUCUUCAUGAAAGCUCGCUCCAGGGGAUGAGCCUGCGGCCCAUCAGCUAGUUGGUAGGGUAAUGGCCUACCAAGGCGAAGACGGGUAGCUGGUCUGAGAGGAUGAUCAGCCACACUGGAACUGAGACACGGUCCAGACUCCUACGGGAGGCAGCAGUGGGGAAUCGUUGCGCAAUGGGCGAAAGCCUGACGCAGCGACGCGGCGUGAGUGAUGAAGGCCUCGGGUUGUAAAGCUACUGUGGAGGGGGUACGGAAGUAAGU